rnacentral:RNase_P_RNA from 2 species
CAGGGCAGACAAACAGUCGCUGCGUAUUGCUUCACGGCAUACGGAGAGGAAAGUCCGAGCUACACAGAGCAAAAUGCCAGUUAACGGCUGGGCGUGGUAACACGACGGAAAGUGGCGCAGAAAGCUAAACCGCCGAUGGCUGCCCCCAAGGGCGCACAGGCAAGGGUGAAAAGGUGCGGUAAGAGCGCACCGCGCAUCUGGUAACAGAUUGUGGCAGGCUAAACCCCAUUUGUAGCAAGACCAAACAGAACACAUUGAGGCUGCUCGCGGAGUGUUCGGGUAGGUUGCUUGAGCGCAGCAGCGAUGUUGCGCCUAGAGGAAUGACUGUUCAAUGACAAAACUCGGCUUAUCGUUUGCCCUGCGCU